GUUAAGCGACUAAGCGUACACGGUGGAUGCCCUGGCAGUCAGAGGCGAUGAAGGGCGUGCUAAUCUGCGAUAAGCGCCGGUAAGGUGAUAUGAACCGUUAUAACCGGCGAUACCCGAAUGGGGAAACCCAGUGUGACUCGUCACACUAUCAUUAACUGAAUCCAUAGGUUAAUGAGGCGAACCGGGGGAACUGAAACAUCUAAGUACCCCGAGGAAAAGAAAUCAACCGAGAUUCCCCCAGUAGCGGCGAGCGAACGGGGAGGAGCCCAGAGCCUGAAUCAGCAUGUGUGUUAGUGGAAGCGUCUGGAAAGGCGCGCGAUACAGGGUGACAGCCCCGUACACAAAAGCGCAUGUGCUGUGAGCUCGAUGAGUAGGGCGGGACACGUGGUAUCCUGUCUGAAUAUGGGGGGACCAUCCUCCAAGGCUAAAUACUCCUGACUGACCGAUAGUGAACCAGUACCGUGAGGGAAAGGCGAAAAGAACCCCGGCGAGGGGAGUGAAAAAGAACCUGAAACCGUGUACGUACAAGCAGUGGGAGCCCCACCACUAAGCCAGUGGUGAACUCCACAUACGCAUCCUUUGCUGAGGAUGCGGUUAACGGAGCGAAAGCGACGUUCAACCGCAAAAGAAGCAGAGGGGGCUUAGUGGUGGGGUGACUGCGUACCUUUUGUAUAAUGGGUCAGCGACUUAUAUUCUGUAGCAAGGUUAACCGAAUAGGGGAGCCGGAGGGAAACCGAGUCUUAAUUGGGCGUUAAGUUGCAGGGUAUAGACCCGAAACCCGGUGAUCUAGCCAUGGGCAGGUUGAAGGUUGGGUAACACUAACUGGAGGACCGAACCGACUAAUGUUGAAAAAUUAGCGGAUGACCUGUGGCUGGGGGUGAAAGGCCAAUCAAACCGGGAGAUAGCUGGUUCUCCCCGAAAGCUAUUUAGGUAGCGCCUCGUGAAUUCAUCUCCGGGGGUAGAGCACUGUUUCGGCUAGGGGGCCAUCCCGGCUUACCAACCCGAUGCAAACUGCGAAUACCGGAGAAUGUUAUCACGGGAGACACACGGCGGGUGCUAACGUCCGUCGUGAAGAGGGAAACAACCCAGACCGCCAGCUAAGGUCCCAAAGUCAUGGUUAAGUGGGAAACGAUGUGGGAAGGCCCAGACAGCCAGGAUGUUGGCUUAGAAGCAGCCAUCAUUUAAAGAAAGCGUAAUAGCUCACUGGUCGAGUCGGCCUGCGCGGAAGAUGUAACGGGGCUAAACCAUG
rnacentral:rRNA from 1 species